rnacentral:misc_RNA from 1 species
GAUGAAGAACGUAGCGAAAUGCGAUAAGUAGUGUGAAUUGCAGAAUUCAGUGAAUCAUCGAAUCUUUGAACGCACAUUGCGCCCCAUGGUAUUCCGUGGGGCAUGCCUGUUCGAGCGUCAUUUACCCCCUCAAGCUCCGGUUGGUGUUGGGCGUCUGUCCCGCUUCGCGCGCGGACUCGCCCCAAAGGUAUUGGCAGCGGUCGUGCCAGCUUCUCGCGCAGCACAUUGCGCUUCUCGAGGCACCGGUGGGCCCGCGUCCAUCAAGCUCACCCCCCCAGUUUGACCUCGGAUCAGGUAGGGAUACCCGCUGAACUUAAGCAUAUCAUAAGCGGAGA